UACGAAGGGGGCUAGCGUUGCUCGGAAUCACUGGGCGUAAAGCGCACGUAGGCGGACUCUUAAGUCAGGGGUGAAAUCCUGGAGCUCAACUCCAGAACUGCCUUCGAUACUGGCGAUCUAGAGUCCGGGAGAGGUGAGUGGAACUGCGAGUGUAGAGGUGAAAUUCGUAGAUAUUCGCAAGAACACCAGUGGCGAAGGCGGCUCACUGGCCCGGUACUGACGCUGAGGUGCGAAAGCGUGGGGAGCAAACAGG
rnacentral:rRNA from 1 species